AGAGUUUGAUCAUGGCUCAGGACGAACGCUGGCGGCGUGCCUAAUACAUGCAAGUCGAACGCUUCUGCUUAGACCAGUGCUUGCACUAACUUAAGUUAGAAGAGUGGCGAACGGGUGAGUAACACGUGGGUAACCUGCCCAUCAGAGGGGGACAACACUUGGAAACAGGUGCUAAUACCGCAUAAUACUUGAAACCGCAUGGUUUCAAGUUGAAAGGCGCUUCUGGUGUCRCUGAUGGAUGGACCCGCGGUGCAUUAGCUAGACGGUGAGGUAACGGCUCACCGUGGCGAUGAUGCAUAGCCGACCUGAGAGGGUGAUCGGCCACAUUGGGACUGAGACACGGCCCAAACUCCUACGGGAGGCAGCAGUAGGGAAUCUUCGGCAAUGGACGCAAGUCUGACCGAGCAACGCCGCGUGAGUGAUGAAGGUUUUCGGAUCGUAAAACUCUGUUGUUAGAGAAGAACAAGAGAAGUAGUAACUGGCUUCUCCUUGACGGUAUCUAACCAGAAAGCCACGGCUAACUACGUGCCAGCAGCCGCGGUAAUACGUAGGUGGCAAGCGUUGUCCGGAUUUAUUGGGCGUAAAGCGAGCGCAGGCGGUCUUUUAAGUCUGAUGUGAAAGCCCACGGCUUAACCGUGGAGGGUCAUUGGAAACUGGGAGACUUGAGUGCAGAAGAGGAAAGUGGAACUCCAUGUGUAGCGGUGGAAUGCGUAGAUAUAUGGAAGAACACCAGUGGCGAAGGCGGCUUUCUGGUCUGUAACUGACGCUGAGGCUCGAAAGCGUGGGGAGCAAACAGGAUUAGAUACCCUGGUAGUCC
rnacentral:rRNA from 1 species